rnacentral:misc_RNA from 1 species
GAGCUUGACAUUUAAAGCUACACCAAUGCCGAACUUUUACAAGGAACCUCCUCAAAAAGUUGAGCUCAGGAAGAUACCGACAACACGUGCUGUAUCUCCUAAGCUCGGAAGAAACAAGAACUCCACAUCUACAACCAACAGCUCCGAAAGUGGAGGAUCGUGUUUCAGUCCAAGAGUUGUGAACAAAGAACAGGUAAAGUCACCCCGGGCUAUGCUGUCAACGAGCAAUAAAGUCACCGGUGCAUCAAAAGGGAAGCCUAUUGAAACCAAGAAGACAAUGAAAAGUUCCUCAACUACUAAAACUAAAGGGAAAGCUGUUGCAACAAAAUCAAAACCUGCUGAAGCAAAGGCGUUGGACGAGAACAUUUGUGAUGAGAAAUCAAAAGAAAUGAUCGAACCUGAUGAAAGGUCCGCGAUGAAUCCAGCAGACAACAAUGCAGAGAAACCGCCAAAUGCUAUUGUUAUGCCAUCAGCUCGAGUCACUGUUGAAGGUUAACGAAUUCAAGGAAGUUCUAACGCCCGCUGUAUUCACAUAUAUCUCUCUCUCUAUAUAUAUAGGUUUCUUUUUUUGGAAUUUUUGGAAAUUUUAUGCUUCAUUUUAAGUUGUGAAUACAUUGUUGUAUGUUUUGUGUUUAUAAGUUGUAUAUGUUGGUUCAAAAUUUAUUUU